UACGUAGGGUGCAAGCGUUAAUCGGAAUUACUGGGCGUAAAGCGUGCGCAGGCGGUUUUGUAAGACAGGUGUGAAAUCCCCGGGCUUAACCUGGGAACUGCAUUUGUGACUGCAAGGCUGGAGUGCGGCAGAGGGGGAUGGAAUUCCGCGUGUAGCAGUGAAAUGCGUAGAUAUGCGGAGGAAUACCGAUGGCGAAGGCAGCCCCCUGGGAUGAUACUGACGCUCAUGCACGAAAGCGUGGGGAGCAAACAGG
rnacentral:rRNA from 1 species